rnacentral:rRNA from 1 species
AUGAGUUUGAUCGUGGCUCAGGACGAACGCUGGCGGCGUGCCUAAUACAUGCAAGUCGAGCGCGGGAAGCGAGCUGAUCCCUUCGGGGUGACGCUCGUGGAACGAGCGGCGGACGGGUGAGUAACACGUGGGCAACCUGCCUGUAAGAUCGGGAUAACUCCGGGAAACCGGGGCUAAUACCGGGUAAUACUUUCUUUCGCAUGAAGGAAAGUUGAAAGAUGGCUUCUCGCUAUCACUUACAGAUGGGCCCGCGGCGCAUUAGCUAGUUGGUGAGGUAACGGCUCACCAAGGCGACGAUGCGUAGCCGACCUGAGAGGGUGAUCGGCCACACUGGGACUGAGACACGGCCCAGACUCCUACGGGAGGCAGCAGUAGGGAAUCUUCCGCAAUGGACGAAAGUCUGACGGAGCAACGCCGCGUGAACGAUGAAGGUCUUCGGAUCGUAAAGUUCUGUUGUUAGGGAAGAACAAGUACCGUGCGAAUAGAGCGGUA